UACGUAGGGUGCAAGCGUUGUCCGGAAUUAUUGGGCGUAAAGAGCUCGUAGGCGGUUUGUUGCGUCGGCUGUGAAAGCCCGGGGCUUAACCCCGGGUCUGCAGUCGAUACGGGCAGGCUAGAGUGUGGUAGGGGAGAUCGGAAUUCCUGGUGUAGCGGUGAAAUGCGCAGAUAUCAGGAGGAACACCGGUGGCGAAGGCGGAUCUCUGGGCCAUUACUGACGCUGAGGAGCGAAAGCGUGGGGAGCGAACAGG
rnacentral:rRNA from 1 species